rnacentral:rRNA from 1 species
CGCGUAGGCUGUGCUGCAAGUCAGGCGUGAAAGGCCCGGGCUCAACCUGGGAACUGCGCAUGAUACUGCGGCGCUUGAAGGCGGGAGAGGAUGGCGGAAUUCCCAGUGUAGAGGUGAAAUUCGUAGAUAUUGGGAAGAACACCGGUGGCGAAGGCGGCCAUCUGGCCCGCAAUUGACGCUGAGGCGCGAAAGCGUGGGGAGCAAACAGGAUUAGAUACCCUGGUAGUCCACGCCGUAAACGAUGAGUGCUAGACGUCGGGGAGCUUGCUCUUCGGUGUCGCCGCUAACGCAUUAAGCACUCCGCCUGGGGAGUACGGUCGCAAGAUUAAA